AAUAAGAAAAUCUAUUUAAAAAAAGAAAAAUAUUGGAAAUAUAUCUCCUCGUCAGUAUAACCGAAGAGUUGCUAAAGCAAAAUUAAUUUUCAAAAUAAAACUUUUCUUGUACUAAAUUGGCAAGAUAUCAACUGUUAAAUUCAAAAUGCACAAUUAAUAAUUACUGCAGAACUUGAUAAGAGCCUGAGCAUAUCUGAAUCAUCCGAAGCAAUUUCAUAUUAUCAGACAUUUGACUAUGUCAAUAAACGAUGGAUGGUGG